rnacentral:snoRNA from 1 species
CCUGCUCCUAGAGGCAUUUGUAGAUAUGGCUGCUAGUCACAUGUGGGUCAGUGGAUGACUGAGAGGGGAGAAGCCAUGUCUAUGCUCAGCGCUCUGACCUUUGAACAUCUGAAUGAUUAGUAACCUAACAUU